GAAACAUCUUGCACACAUAUAUGUCUAAAAGAUGAUGAUUUAUUAGUGUUGAUUCAGCUAAGGUGAUGAAGAUCUUGAGAGAUUCAUGGAAUUGAACCUAUGGUUUACCAGUAAACUCUUAUAGCUCUUGGCUCAAAGAUUUCUGGGGAGGCUUUGUUCUUAGGUUAGUUAAUUGCUUGAGGCCAGUAGAACAGCAAUUUCCUAUAGCAUCAUGAAAAAUAUGUCCUAUAGCAUCAUGGCAGCAGCAGAGCUAUAAACUUCACUUUGAGAGGCCAUGUGGAGAAUAUCAGAAUAUUGGUCACUCUUGGAGAAACACAUGAUAUGAUUCUAUAUCAUUAUAGAUCUAUAACAGAGUUCUUGUAAGUUUCUAGGGGCAGUAGAGUCUCAUCCAUAUCAUUUGGGGUGCUCCACCCUUCCUAUUGCCUUCUAAAAAUUUAGGUUCAGAUUCUGUUUUGUGGAUCUUCCAUUUCAUUAAUUGGUUACUUACAAGUGUAAAUACUCUAAUUUCUUCCAGCUAGUUGUGUAUUAUAAUUGUACAUACCUUGAAAUUGUGUAGGCACAAUGAGUUCUAGUACCAGUGGGACAACAAAGAAAGAUCAUGCUAAUUUAUAGAUGUUCAAUGUAUGUUUACAUAGAGACAAGCUAUGGUAUUGUGAUGUUUAUCAUACACUCAUUUUGCAUUUACUUGAACAAAAAUUACAAUUUAUAUGAAUCAAAAUUACAAUAUUGAAAACAAAGUUACCAUAUUC